rnacentral:lncRNA from 1 species
UCUCAAUUCAACUAAUUAAGUCUUCUAAAAUUAUUAGGUCCCUAAAAAUGAAAUAGUUAUAGUGAUAACUAGAUCAUAGCCUCCCAUUAAGUUAGAUGAUAAUGAGCCCAAUAGUUGAGAUGAUUAUCGAAGAUGCCACACGUCUGGUGCUCAUCUGGUUAUCGAAAUUAUCAUUCAUAAUAUAUUGAUUUAGUUGUGUCUUUCUGAUAAUGAUC